GGGCUCAGACACGGAGCACAGCAUGCCCCACUAAAGGACAUCCCGGGGGGACAAAGCAAGGGACACCUGACAACCCACCCAGCCUGUCACCUGCCAUGCAGGGACUCCACCACCUGCAGAAGAUAAGGCCCAGCCAGUUUUGCUUUGGCAGGAUCCAUCCACACCCUGAAAUAAGGAGCAGGAGGAUAUGAAAUCCAGAUGACAGGAGGACCCACAUCUGCUACUCCAUGGCAAGGUUGCAAACUGGGCUCAUGUUCGGCCUGUGUCAAGCACUGGGCCAACUGGCAGAAGAACAGGGUGGAAUUAGAAAACAUUUCCUAGCACAGGAGCUGCAGAGCAGGGACUGAUGAUGGGCAGGAAGGAGCACACCUUGUUAUGGACAACUCAGAAAAUGAGCUGUGGAUCCCCACUUGCUGGCAUAUUUGUGGAACCUCUCUGUGUCUGGGAGCUGUGAGCCUGUACUGCUUUGGUGUGUAACUCUGAAGUCCAUACAGAGUGUCAGCUGCUGUCUUCACAUUUUGGUCAGACGAAACAAUCCCUCUGGGCCUGAAACUCAAGGGCACCCUACAGCUUCAGGCCCUAAAAUGUAUGAACAAAAGUGAGUUGGGGAGGAGCAAACUGGGGGAACAUGACUUCAUUACCUGAAGCUGUAAUUGGAGGAUUAACCCCGAUAUGUGAAUGGACCAAACUUAUAAUUGCCUGAAAAACUCAUGACCAUUGUCCAUCCUGGGUGUAGCCCCUUGGGGAAGCUUCACCUGCCCUUAAUGUACCUGAAGGCCCUUCAGUAAAUAU